GCGGGGGCCGCGCGCGCUUUUCCCGCCCUCGGCGGGGCCGCGGGACCCCCCUGAGGGCGCCGCUCCCUCACACCCGCCAUGGCGGCACCGCCGUCACCCCCGCACCGCUCGCGGCACCCGGAGCUGCGCCACUCAGCAACCCGCGGCUGCCAGAAAGGAAUAACCGGGGAAUAACCGGCCAGGCAGGCACCGUGCGGAAGGAUGGACCCCGCUCCUGGAGGCUGCGGGAUCCGGUGCUCUUCUGCGGCCGCGGCGGGUCUCCGGUGCUGGAAGAGGCAGAAAAACAACAGCAACAAAAAAAUCCAAAACAACCAAAAGAAAAAUAAAAAUACUAAAAAUAAGGCGAAGAAAACCCCUUGUUUGUGUCGGACUGAGGAGGAGCAGAUGGGAGCGGUUCUGCCCGUGCGGGGUGGAUGCGGUGGUCGCUACCGCCGCGUUUAACUCCGCCAGUCGGUAGCGAAGCGAUUUCACCGUCCCGACCCGUCGCGCCGCCGGCUCCCGACAGCCGGCUCUGUGCCGAGCUGCUGGAAGGAGCCGCUCCUAGGGAUGUGCGCUGGCCACUGCAACACUACCAGCAAGCAGCCAGUCCUCGCGGAAAGGCAAAGGGAAGAUGCCGACAAUUCCCCGUGGUUCGGGCAGCCCCCGGUUCUCCGCGCAUCCCGCUGCCCGGCCGCAGCCGCCGGGGGUGCGGGGCCGGCCGGCGGCAGCGCCGCGUUCCUCCGGCUGCUGUUCCGCCUGCGGUGCUGAAGUGGGUUUUAUUCCCUGCUCUCCACCAGCCCCCAGGAACUGGGAUCAGGAGCUGAAGCCCAUCAGCUCCACGGUCCCACCGCCGGGCUGACAACGCGCAGGGGGCUCUUGGGGUUUUCCCUCUGGAAGGCUCCUGUGGGAGGCCCCCAAAUUCUGCUCCCAAAUUGGCGGCAUCAUGUCAGUGUUGGUGAUGAAGUGCAAGGCUUUAGGGGCUAGAUUGAGAAGGGAGACAUAGUUUUGUCGUUAAAAACUGAAGGAGGAAAAGCAAUCCCGCAUUCACUCCUUCUUUGCAUCUUCCAGCAGCCCCUCAGCAGAUGAAAAAAACCCGAUCCACAGAUGCAGUAAAUUUUAAGUUGGGGAUUUAAUUUCUUCAGUGUCCCACCACGUUUUCUUGAAGGGAGUCAUACAAACGACUUUUUUCUAACUGCUGGGUUGGUGCUGAUGGCUGUCAGCCACGGGAGGGGACCGGAGCCACCCGGCCCAGGCCCAGUCCUGCAGUGACCGUGGAUCAUCUCCGGCAGCUCUUCCAAUUGUGCUUCAGACUUGGAAUACCUGUUCUCUGCCCCACUCAUUUCCAGUGCCCGUGCAAUGAGCUGUAUGUCUAACAGAUCAAUGUUUCAGAUAUCUCUAGUAUUACUUUUUGGUUUUUUAAUUUUUUUUGAGUUUUGUAAAAAUUCCUAAUGAUUUUAGCUAAAAAGAGUUAACGAAGUGAGGAGCAGUUCAUCCUCCUUUCCUUACUUCUUCUCAGAGUCUUCCCUUCGUCCACCCUCCACACUCUUUAUGUUUAUCUCUCCUUCCCAUCCAAUUUUGGGGGAAUUUCCUCUCUGGGCUCCUUUCUGCCAUUUAUCCAGGCUGUCCCACUGCUGUGGAGCCUAGCUACAAUUUGCCUUGCUUCCCAUAUCUCCGGGCCUCAUUUCCCUGCCUCACUAAGCCUCUUUUUAUUCUGCAUUCCCUUCUUCCGAUCAUGCUUAAAGGAGGAAGAGGCUGGAGCUGGGAUUUAAAGUAGUCCUUUAGGAGUACUGCCAGAACUGAUCUGUUUUACUCUGCUGCUGCUGCUGUGGCUGUUCUGCUGUGUCAUGGGAAGAGUUUCCUCUCCACACCAACCCUUGGAAGCGGCACCUCGGGCAGAGCCGCUCGCUGCAAACCCUGGCCGUGUUUUACAAAGCCCCGGGCAAGUUUGUCUGGUGCAGGAUUGAGACUGGAAGGGGAAGGCACUGCUGCCUUCCUGGGCUCUGACCUGGAGAGCUGUGCACGAUUUUGGGAGAUUUGCAGGAGGCAGAGCGGCGGCGGCAGCAGUGACAGCGCAUCAUCGCUCAGCUUUAUUUCAUUUUCUCGAGCCAAGACGCUUUAGGUUACAGCCCAGCAGAAAAAGAAAAUGAAGCAUUUCUGUCAAAAGAGAGCUAUUUCCCAAAUUUGCUUUAAAUUAUUGCAAGAUCUUGCACGAAAAAAGAGCACAGAUUCUGUCUCCUCUUAAAAAAUGUUGUUAGUUAUAAAAUCUUUACAAUCUUGGCUCUCUCCCCCUCAGCCUGUCUCCUUCAAAAACUUGCUUUCAAAAAUGUGAAGUUUAAAGAUGACUCUUCUUUCUCUCUCUGUCCCCUCUCCUAAAUUUAUGUUCCUUGGAAAGGCCUGAAGAAGCCUGAGGCUGCAUCUCUCCGUGAAUAAACACCGACGUGCACAUACACGUGCAUAUCCAUGCACACACACAGGAUUUAAAGCAUCCCAUUGAAGUCCACAUAUAGGAAAAUCCUUAAUCAUGUGAUAGGCUUUAAUAUCUGCCUUAAAAUUAAUCCCUAACUGAUGGACUCUCUGUGGUGGCAGAUCACAGGAGGCUCAGUAGCUGGGGCUCCUGUGCAGGUUUUAAAAAACUGCCAGAUAAAAUCCCCUGUUUGCUGUUGUAUUAAUUUGUUUGCUCACAGCAGCUACCUGGGAAAUGCUCAUCUAGUGAAACCAAGUAAGAAAACUUUAUAGGGCUCUGAUCUUGUUUUUCCACAGUUAAAAAGAAAGACCUUGUCAUGAGGUCAGGACAUGAUGUUAUUACACAAGGAAAUGGCUGAAGUUGGCUGCAGAGUUCUUCGGGCGCUCUGUUGGAGAUAACAUUUCUAAAUUUUAUUGGAGUGUGAGUUUUGAAGCUCGUCCUGCUUAAUUCUCAGAGUUGUCUUUGCUUUGUUUUUAUUCAUUUUUGGUGUUGACACUGAGUUUUCUUGUUUCACUUCUCUUUCCUAUUCAUUUCACUCUUUAGUUCCCACGUGUUAGAAAGUGCAGUUUCAUUUAGACUCUUGAGAGAAGAAAGUCUGAUUCCAGAGAGCAAUUUGCAGCAAUAUAUUUUUCCUUGCCACUCACACAAAAACAUCACUACUCCAACAGAUAUAGGAAUAAACAAUGCUGACAAGCCCUCAAAACCAAAAUCAGAUUGUGAAAUUGAGGCAAAUAGCCCAGAGAACCCGAAAUUUUCUGGUUUCUAAAAUGCUGUCUGCUGUCAAAAAUGGGGUAAAAUAAAGCUUUGUUUACGUGUA